AGAUUAGCUUGCUUUAUUUGUCAGCUAAGUGGCGCACGGGUGAGUAAUGUAUAGAUAACCUGCCCUCUAGAAAGGAAUAACAGUUGGAAACGACUGCUAAUGCCCUAUAUGCCUUUAAUACAUAAGUAUGCAAGGGAAACGCUUUAGUGCUAGAGGAUGGGUCUGUAUGGUAUCAGCUAGUUGGUGAGGUAAUGGCUCACCAAGGCUAUGACGCCUAACUGGUUUGAGAGGAUGAUCAGUCACACUGGAACUGAGACACGGUCCAGACUCCUACGGGAGGCAGCAGUGGGGAAUAUUGCACAAUGGACGAAAGUCUGAUGCAGCAACGCCGCGUGGAGGAUGACACAUUUCGGUGCGUAAACUCCUUUUAUAUAGGAAGAUAAUGACGGUACUAUAUGAAUAAGCACCGGCUAACUCCGUGCCAGCAGCCGCGGUAAUACGGAGGGUGCAAGCGUUACUCGGAAUCACUGGGCGUAAAGAGCGUGUAGGCGGGUAUAUAAGUCAGAAGUGAAAUCCUAUAGCUUAACUAUAGAACUGCUUUUGAAACUGUAUACCUAGAAUGUGGGAGAGGUAGAUGGAAU
rnacentral:rRNA from 1 species